rnacentral:pre_miRNA from 1 species
UCUUGAAUGAGCAAAGAAAGUGGUUUCUUAGAUGGAAUCUACUCCUGGUGAAGAUACUGUGAA